GAUGAAGAACGUAGCGAAAUGCGAUAAGUAGUGUGAAUUGCAGAAUUCAGUGAAUCAUCGAAUCUUUGAACGCACAUUGUGCCCCUUGGUAUCCCGAGGGGCAUGCCUGUUCGAGCGUCAUUUCACCACUCAAGCCUGGCUUGGUGUUGGGCGACGUCCUCUUUGGGGACGCGCCUCGAAACGCUCGGCGGCGUGGCACCGGCUUUAAGCGUAGCAGAAUCUUUCGCUUUGGAAGUCGGGGCCCCGUCUGCCGGAAGACCUGCUCGCAAGGUUGACCUCGGAUCAGGCAGGGAUACCCGCUGAACUUAAGCAUAUCAAAAGCGGAGGA
rnacentral:misc_RNA from 1 species